rnacentral:rRNA from 1 species
UACGGAGGGUGCAAGCGUUGUUCGGAAUUAUUGGGCGUAAAGGGCGCGUAGGCGGUUAGGUAAGUCAGAUGUGAAAUACUUCGGCUCAACUGAAGAACUGCAUUUGAUACUACUUAGCUAGAGUACAGAAGAGGGAAAUGGAAUUCCCGGUGUAGAGGUGAAAUUCGUAGAUAUCGGGAGGAACACCAGUGGCGAAGGCGAUUUCCUGGUCUGAUACUGACGCUGAGGCGCGAAAGCGUGGGGAG